CGACAACAACGAUGCAGAGAUUUUGGAGUGGAGCCAGUGUUUGCGAAUUGUUUGCCAGUGCAGUGUUGUGCCGCUUCUGGCACAGUACACGCGCCAAUCGUUGCCUUCGGGCAACGAGAUGACGUACAAUUUCUUUAUAUUACACAUAAGUAAAACCGUUAGCCAAAAAAACAAAAAUUUUACGAAAUAAAAAAGAAGAAAAAAAAAACUUUUUUUUUUGUCCAUCCUGGCUUUAAACAUAUGCCGUCUCCGAGUUGUCUACUUCAUCCAAAGAAGAAAUUUUUGGUGGUAUUGCUGUCCAACUGGCUUAUGCCCAACAAUUUUUUUUUUUUUAAAUCGCAGUGUUCUUCGGUAUAUAAAGUGCUGGCCCUAAGACAAAAUUCCUUUGGCAUUGAACUGACCUCAGACGAUACACCUAGACUUUUUUUUUUCUUAAUAAAAUUGGAAGUGAUUCCAAAAGCAGAAAAUGUGUAAAUUCAGUCGCAGAUCAUAAUAUGCCUUCGAAGUAAUCAACCACUUCAGUCGUAUACGCUCAGCAGAGACGAUACACAUACUGGGAAUCGGGAAAAAACCUUUCCUAAAUCGUUUGUCCGCCGUUCAACGCGUUUAUGGCUUGAGGAAUUUUAAAUACGUAAAAUAAAUUAACAUAAAAAAUAUUAAAACAAAAAAGUUUAUUAAAACAAAUAUUUCUAAUCAAUUAUCCGAUCCACAUAAAAUAAAAUAAAAAAAAAUAAUUUAAAAAAAAUGGAAAACCAAUAAUUAAAUUCUAUUAAAUGGCUUUGAUAACCGAGUGGAGUGGUAGUGAAGUUGUAUAACGAAGACAUCGUCAUUGAAGUAAUUAUUCUAAAUAUUUAGUGCGUUAAAGAAAAUGACAAAACAAAAAAAAAAUAUUUAAUCAAUCGCAUUCAACGCUAUAAAACCGUAGUCAAACUGAACAUAUUUAAUUAAGUAAACGAAAAUUACACUAAAACAAAAAUGAACUGAGUGGAAAAGUUCGAGUUUAUUUAGCAAGGCUUACAACGUUAAACCAUCCAACACAUUAUAACACAAUUCAUGGUUACGUCUGCUAAUAGAGAGUACUGUUUUAUCGAAAAAAAGAUGGAUCAUCAUUUCACAUUUUAUCGGAACGGAAAAUACCACAGGCCGUUUUACUGAUGCAUCGUCGACCGGCAUGACCAACCGCUCAACGAUAUUGGAUUCAAAUUACUUUCAUGCCGUUAAUCGUUUUAAUUUGUUUGUACGCGAUUCAUCAAUAUAAAAGUGCACUUAAUGACGCCUACACACAAAUUCCACCAACCAACGACAUCAAAGUAUUUUGACAAUGGCACCAGGAAAACUUGCCGAACAGAAAAUCGUUUUUUUGUUCUCACCAGUCAUGGACUUGGAACGGGGUUUGAUGACCUGCUAACCCCGUUAUUCGACAUGAUUAUUCUCCAAUUUUUUUUUUUGUUUAGUGAUGGUGUUUUCUCUAUCCGCGUGAAAUGAUAGAUGCGCCACGUUUUUAUUGUUUGAAAUUUAUUUUUGUUGUUUUUAAGUCAUAGAUUCCCAUUUAGCACAAUACAACGUUUCGUCAUGAUGAAUAAAUUUUAGGUUUUCGGUUCUUUAUAGAGGAGAAUAUUUUAAAAUUUCAACUUUGACUAACAUUGUGUCGUGUGGGGAUUUUAUUCGCAUAAAUUUGAGUUUUUCUUUUAGAAAUUUAAUUGCUGAAUUUGUAUGAAUUUAUUAUUAAAUAAAAUUUGAGUUUUUUUUAUUUGAAAUAAAAAUUCAAACUGAAAAUGCAUACAGAGAAUUCUAGUUAGGGCUUUUGUAGGACUCAUUUCUAUUUUAGUUGUACACCUAAUUAAAUAUAUUAUAUCAACCACAACAUGCAAUACUUAUAUUUAAAAUAUUGUAAAAAUUGUAUUCAUAAUAAGAGCGAAGGUAGCGUUAAA